CUCCGCGGGGCGCCUGCGCGGGCGGGCGUCCUCCCGGCGCCUGCGCGAUCGGGGCCUUUUCAAGUCAGGCCUGUUUGUCAAGCUUGUGUACUCCGCGAUCGGGUUCCGUGACCGAGCGAUUCACUGCAACUCUAAUCCGGCUGGGAUUCUUUAGCGGGUUUGAACUGCCACCUUGUACUGCGAGUACAAGCGCUGGGAGUAGAACUGCAGCCUGGCGGGCCCCGACUGGGGGCAUCAGACACCUCUCCAGGUCGCGGCUCCCGGGAGGAUUUGGCUCAGCGGGUCCAGGGGCUGCGGAGGGAGCCCGGGAGCUGGAAGGGAGCGGACGUGCGCAGAUGGCGGGGCCCGCCUGAGGCCCUGACCCCGACUUCGUGCCCGAACCCUGACCAACGACUCCCGCCUCGGAUCCAGACUCUGAGUACGACUCAGACUCCCGGACACCGACCCCGACUCCUCCUAGACCCGGGCCCCUGACCCCUAUCCCGCCGCAGUCUUGGCGCGAGGAGGAUGCUGCGGAGGGGAGAGUUUGGCUCGUCCGGGCUCUGGCCGCAGAGCCUGCCCGGCUGGUGCCCCAAGCGCCCUGUGCACGGAGAGGAAAAGGAAAGGGCUUAGGGUAAGAGCAGGGACUUCAGGGUAGCUGAGCCAGCUCCUGGGCGCGAGCGGACGGCAGUCUUGUUCUACAGAUGCUUAAUUUUGAAGAGGGGCCCUGGGUUCGAUCCAAGAUCCUAGAUCCUGAUGAAACUAAAAGUUGGUAUCUGCAACUAAAGAUUCUGCAUGAUGCAACUCCAAAAAAAAAAAAAAAGUAUUCCACAUGUCACAACAAAGAUCAAAGAACCUGCGUGCCGCUGCAAGUAAGACCUGGAGCAGCCAAAUAAAUAUUUAUUGAAAGAAA